rnacentral:rRNA from 1 species
AUUGAACGCUGGCGGCAGGCCUAACACAUGCAAGUCGAGCGGUAGCACAGAGAGCUUGCUCUCGGGUGACGAGCGGCGGACGGGUGAGUAAUGUCUGGGAAACUGCCUGAUGGAGGGGGAUAACUACUGGAAACGGUAGCUAAUACCGCAUAACGUCGCAAGACCAAAGAGGGGGACCUUCGGGCCUCUUGCCAUCAGAUGUGCCCAGAUGGGAUUAGCUAGUAGGUGGGGUAACGGCUCACCUAGGCGACGAUCCCUAGCUGGUCUGAGAGGAUGACCAGCCACACUGGAACUGAGACACGGUCCAGACUCCUACGGGAGGCAGCAGUGGGGAAUAUUGCACAAUGGGCGCAAGCCUGAUGCAGCCAUGCCGCGUGUAUGAAGAAGGCCUUCGGGUUGUAAAGUACUUUCAGCGAGGAGGAAGGUGCUGAGGUUAAUAACCUCAGCAAUUGACGUUACUCGCAGAAGAAGCACCGGCUAACUCCGUGCCAGCAGCCGCGGUAAUACGGAGGGUGCAAGCGUUAAUCGGAAUUACUGGGCGUAAAGCGCACGCAGGCGGUCUGUCAAGUCGGAUGUGAAAUCCCCGGGCUCAACCUGGGAACUGCAUUCGAAACUGGCAGGCUAGAGUCUUGUAGAGGGGGGUAGAAUUCCAGGUGUAGCGGUGAAAUGCGUAGAGAUCUGGAGGAAUACCGGUGGCGAAGGC